rnacentral:rRNA from 1 species
CUAUACUGCAAGUCGAGCGGACCGACGGGAGCUUGCUCCCUUAGGUCAGCGGCGGACGGGUGAGUAACACGUGGGUAACCUGCCUGUAAGACUGGGAUAACUCCGGGAAACCGGGGCUAAUACCGGAUGCUUGAUUGAACCGCAUGGUUCAAUCAUAAAAGGUGGGUUUUAGCUACCACUUUCAGAUGGACCCGCGGCGCAUUAGCUAGUUGGGGAGGUAACGGCUCACCCAGGGGACGAUGCGUAGCCGAACUGAAAGGGUGAUCGGCCACCCUGGGACUGAAACACGGGCCAAACUCCUACGGGAGGGAGCAGUAGGGAAUCUUCCGCAAUGGACGAAAGUCUGACGGAACAACGCCCCGUGAGUGAUGAAGGUUUUCGGAUCGUAAAACUCUGUUGUUAGGGAAGAACAAGUACCGUUCGAAUAGGGGGGUACCUUGACGGUACCUAACCAGAAAGCCACGGCUAACUACGUGCCAGCAGCCGCGGUAAUACGUAGGUGGCAAGCGUUGUCCGGAAUUAUUGGGCGUAAAGCGCGCGCAGGCGGUUUCUUAAGUCUGAUGUGAAAGCCCCCGGCUCAACCGGGGAGGGUCAUUGGAAACUGGGGAACUUGAGUGCAGAAGAGGAGAGUGGAAUUCCACGUGUAGCGGUGAAAUGCGUAGAGAUGUGGAGGAACACCAGUGGCGAAGGCGACUCUCUGGUCUGUAACUGACGCUGAGGCGCGAAAGCGUGGGGAGCGAACAGGAUUAGAUACCCUGGUAGUCCACGCCGUAAACGAUGAGUGCUAAGUGUUAGAGGGUUUCCGCCCUUUAGUGCUGCAGCAAACGCAUUAAGCACUCCGCCUGGGGAGUACGGUCGCAAGACUGAAACUCAAAGGAAUUGACGGGGGCCCGCACAAGCGGUGGAGCAUGUGGUUUAAUUCGAAGCAACGCGAAGAACCUUACCAGGUCUUGACAUCCUCUGACAACCCUAGAGAUAGGGCUUCCCCUUCGGGGGCAGAGUGACAGGUGGUGCAUGGUUGUCGUCAGCUCGUGUCGUGAGAUGUUGGGUUAAGUCC